UCCUUCGUGGUGUAGUGGUCAAUAUGCUCAGCUCGUAUUCGAGAGGUCCGUGGUUCGAGUCCCGACGAGGGUA
rnacentral:tRNA from 1 species